UCAUAUAUAACUACACUAAAGCUGCAAUAAUACUCCCUACAAAUUAUGGAUGACCACAACUAGCACUGACCGUGAAGUAAAACUGCUCCGUCUCCUGCUGAUUGGCCCGUCGCUUGGCCAGGCUGGGCUUACUGAGAUAGGAUUCGCUGAAGGUGGACUUCACCGACUCCAUGCUGUUGCUGUGGUGGAAGCACUCAGAGACGUCGUAGUCCUCCACUGUCACCAUGUCUUGGAUGGUGGCCAGGGUGGCCUCCAUGGUUUUCUUUACCUGGUGAGAACGGAAGAAAAGAAAAGACACGAAACAAAGGCUGUAACGGAAGAUGAACCAGAAGAAUGAAUAAUAUAAGAGGGAGCAGAAAGAUGGCUGACCUCUUCAUUCUCAAUCUUGAGUGUGGAGAGGCGUGACUGCAGCUGCUGACACCUCUGGAGCAGCUCGCCUUCCACCGGCUGCUGCGCACACAUCACUCCCAUCUAUACCCGCCCGCACACACAAAUAAAGACAGUGGAAAGUGAGACAGUUAACAGCGUCAUAAAAACAACCUGAUUCUGCCCUUCCCAGUGCGCAGACACUGAAUGUAUUUAUAAAGAAAAGACACUGAAUAAUAAUAACUCGAGCGCUAGAACUGUACCGUGUCUCCCAUGUGGGACUGAAAGUCAAAGCGAGCUGGGGGGCAGAAGACGUUGUUGUAGGUCUCCAUCAGCUUCUGUUUGUCACCGUUGGGCUCCAAACUUUCUGCGGCUCCAUCCAGUGUCUCCAGGCCAGAGUGUUUGGACGCCUCUACGUUCUGUUCUGCAGAUAGGUGUUGGGUCAUAAACCAAAGUGUUCUGACGUGAUGGUGGCGCUAACUGAAAACUUGUUCAUCUUAAGGGACGCUUAAGAUCAUGAUUUUUUUACACAACUCCAUGGGAAUCCAUCCAAUAGUUAUUGUAGAGAUAUUCCGGUCUGUACUAAAGCGGUGGACAGACCAAGUCGAGCCGUCUCUAGUGUGUUG